UGGUAGUACUAUGAUAGGUCGGUAGUAGAGAUGUGUAGUGAGAGGUGGUAUGAUGGUAGUACUAUGAUAGGUCGGUAGUAGAGAUGUGUAGUGAGAGGUGGUAUGAUGGUAGUACUAUGAUAGGUCAGUAGUAGAGCUGUGUAGUGAGAGGUGGUAUGAUGGUAGUACUGUGAUAGGUAGUAUAGAUGUGUAGUGAGAGGUGGUAUGAUGGUAGUACUAUGAUAGGUCGGUAGUAGAGAUGUGUAGUGAGAGGUGGUAUGAUGGUAGUACUAUGAUAGGUCGGUAGUAGAGAUGUGUAGUGAGAGGUGGUAUGAUGGUAGUACUAUGAUAGGUCGGUAGUAGAGAUGUGUAGUGAGAGGUGGUAUGAUGGUAGUACUAUGAUAGAUCAGUAGUAGAGAUGUAUAACAUUCAUUCAAUUCAGACAGAGAAUGUGUGUGUGUGUAUGUGUGUGAGAGAGUGAGAGACAGAGAGAGAGAGAGAGAGAGAGAGAGAGAGAGAGAGAGAGAGAGAGAGAGAGAGAUAGAGAGAGAGGAAAACCGUAGUGUUUCCACUCUUUGCUCCAUUUCGCCUUAGCGUCCGGCACGUUCUUGGGUCCAACGUGUUGAGACGCGAGGCGGUUUCUUGGUUCCGUGGUUCUAAACAGAAGGGCCAUUUUUUUCAUGGACACACCCACUUUUCUGUGUUCAAUUUGGUCCUAUAGUAUAAAAGAUCUUUGGUUUCUUUAUUAAUUGACCUUUUCCGGAAUAGAUGGGUUAGCUGACAACGUCCUGAACACUACGGGCUUCAAAGGGACAGAAGUCCAUGUGUUGUGGUUCUGGAUGGCCAGACAGCGAGCAACAAGAUGAUGUCAUGUAGGGAAUCGUAGGUGGCUUUUUUCAGCACGUUUUAACUUGUUCUUGAUACAAGGUCUUGUUUUGACUGUCACAUCUAUGCCAAUAUGGCAAAAACAAUUGCUAGCUAGCUAACCAACAACUGUAUUUGAGAGACAGCAAGUGCUCAUUGUGCAAAUAUAUCUACGUUUUCAAAAAACAAUAGGAACAACAAUCAACAAUCUAAGCCAACCCCGUCUGUUUUGCCCCAUAGUUGCGCAUUCGUGCUUUUUGUUGCUAAACAACCUACCCGUCUAUAGGACCUCUUCCGGUUUCCACUAACAGCCACAAAGUAAAAAUUGGCUAUAUGAUUCAAAUGCAUGUAAACACAAAUUAGCUUACUUUAAGGUUAGGCAUAAGGUUAGCGGUGUGAUUAAGGUUAUGGUUAGGUUUAAAUCCCAUUUUAAGGAGAGAAUUUGUUGAAAUAGGUGGGGUUUAUGACUUUGUGACUGUGGUAAUUAUUGACAACCACCAUUUCCUUGUGUUGGUCUCCUUUGUAGCACUCGAGACGUGAUUGGACGUCUUUUUAGGGAAUGUGUCAUGUGACUUUCUGACAAGCCUCCUCAUUGGAGGAGGACACCCAGCUGACCUUGUCUGUUUUUAUUUGGUUAUUUACUUCUUGCACAAACAGCUAAUAAAAUGAAUGUUGGUUUGAGCUUCAGCGUUUCAAAAUGAAAAGUAAUAUGUUGUUGUUUUUAUUGUUUUUUUUUGCCAUGUUGUUGUUUUACUUUUGUUUCUUUCUUGGCAAAAAAAAAAUUGGCACCUUUUUGGUUUUAAAAUUAACAGAAUUCAAUCAGGAUUCCUUUGUUGAAACGUGACUGUUGUUUGACGUCUUGUCAAUAGAAGCCCGUAUCGCUGGACAACCAACUCAGGCAGAGAAAACGUAAACACGUCCACAAACCCAAUGGUUAAGUUUCACUUCGAUUCAAUGUGGUUGUUCGAUAUGGAUUAUUACUAUUUUGACUGAUUAUAUUCAUAUAAUAAAUAUAUAAAUAUAA